rnacentral:rRNA from 1 species
CGGGUGAGUAAUGCUUGGGAAUCUAGCUUAUGGAGGGGGAUAACUACGGGAAACUGUAGCUAAUACCGCGUAAUAUCGAGAGAUUAAAGUGUGGGACCUUCGGGCCACAUGCCAUAGGAUGAGCCCAAGUGGGAUUAGGUAGUUGGUGAGGUAAAGGCUCACCAAGCCGACGAUCUCUAGCUGGUCUGAGAGGAUGACCAGCCACACUGGGACUGAGACACGGCCCAG